AGCAGAUAACCUACACUCACUGCUUAGAGGACCCAGCAAGUGUGUCACCUGAGGAAUGCCAGGGCAGGGAGUCGUGGUCUUUUUCAAAACUCGUGGAACUCUGGCGUUCACCAUGCCAGAAAUUCGUUUCCAGUCCCAUGUGCUUGAAAAGCAGUUCCUGAGGAAAGUGACUUCGGGAGUGGAUCCCAAAUGCUGUCCCUCCUUAAGCAGAGGAGGAAGACUGAUGGAAAUGGAACACUGGACAGUUCAGACAAAUCUCAAGCUGGCUGUGAAAUGCUCCUGAGAUCUUCCGAACUUGGUGAGCACGACAGAAUCACCUCAGCCUACCCAGAAAACGCCAGGCUAUUUAACAAGUAGUUUAGAUGCUGCCUCUGAAAGUUGAACCCUUUAUGUCUUUUUAACGGAUUUUUCAUUUCUUCAUAAAUAAUUGAAAUGUGUUAAAAAUUUAAUCAACAAAGUAAAUUAUUAGAUCUGUGGAGAGAGUUCUGAUCACAAACUGGGAAAAUAUGCUCUCUCUCUCUCUCUCUCUCCUCUCUCUCUCUCCUCUCUCUCCUUUUUGUAACCGCAAAGCAACUGUUAUAGCAAACUCUAUAGCAAAGUUAGAUGCUAUACUGUUUAGAUACACACCUGAUGCUGCACGAAAGAUUUUGGGAAGCAUGCCUUAAAGUUCUGUGCUGAUUUAAUAUUAAACAGUCACUCUGGAGU
rnacentral:lncRNA from 1 species